ACAGGGAUUCCCCUAGUAACGGCGAGUGAAGCGGGAACAGCUCAAAUUUGAAAUCUGGCCCUCGGGUCCGAGUUGUAAUUUGUAGAGGAUGCUUUUGGUGCGGUGCCUUCCGAGUUCCCUGGAACGGGACGCCUUAGAGGGUGAGAGCCCCGUACGGUUGGACGCCUAGCCUCUGUAAAGCUCCUUCGACGAGUCGAGUAGUUUGGGAAUGCUGCUCUAAAUGGGAGGUAUAUUUCUUCUAAAGCUAAAUACUGGCCAGAGACCGAUAGCGCACAAGUAGAGUGAUCGAAAGAUGAAAAGCACUUUGAAAAGAGGGUUAAAUAGCACGUGAAAUUGUUGAAAGGGAAGCGUUUAUCACCAGACUUUUUCUAGGGGGAUCAUCCGGUGUUCUCACCGGUGCACUUCCCCUAGUUGAGGCCAGCAUCGGUUUUCGGAGGGGGAUAAAAGUUUCGGGAAUGUGACUCCCCCGGGAGUGUUAUAGCCCGUUACAUAAUACCCUUCUGGGGACCGAGGUUCGCGCAUCUGCAAGGAUGCUGGCAUAAUGGUGAUCAACGACCCGUCUUGAAACACGGACCAAGGAGUCGAACAUUUAUGCGAGUGUUUGGGUGUCAAACCCUCACGCGUAAUGAAAGUGAACGGAGGUGAGAGCCCUUACGGGUGCAUCAUCGACCGAUCCUGAUGUCUUCGGAUGGAUUUGAGUAAGAGCAUAACUGUUCGGACCCGAAAGAUGGUGAACUAUGCGUGGAUAGGGUGAAGCCAGGAGAAAUCCUGGUGGAGGCUCGCAGCGGUUCUGACGUGCAAAUCGAUCGUCAAAUCUGCGCAUGGGGGCGAAAGACUAAUCGAACCAUCU
rnacentral:rRNA from 1 species